AUCUCUCAACAUUCAAUCUUUAAUUCAAAAUAUGGAAUUAAAUUCGAAACAACAUAACAUCAUUAUUCAAUUAAGAAACUUAGAAAAUGACCUCAUUCAUAAUAUAGAGUAUUCAAUGAAAUAAGGAAUUCCCAACCCUGUGUUACACUAUCAGAUUGACACCAUGGAAAACUAAAUAGUCGAUAAGGUAUGACGAAUAAAACAAGAAAAUAAAGCAGUGAGUAGGCAAAUUAUGCCACCCCCCAAAAUAAGUAACGUCUAAAUCUCCUCAGUCUCCACCUGAGUAUCUGCAUAGUAUCCAUGGGAAACAACAUGGAAACCGAAAAGGGGUGAGAAAUACAUUCCAUAUAUAAACGGUGCAUAAAAAACAAGGAUAGUGUAAUCAAUAUAACUACCCAAUCACAAUCACAUCUCGAAUAACAACAACAAUCGAUUAACAUAUGAAAUUAUGUAUGCAAUGUCAAUCUCUUAUACUCCAAUGCAUGUGGUAGAAAUCUCUAGGAUAUUCCUAGGUAUAUUUCUAAGGUAUCCCAACUCGUUACUUGGAUCAAAGUCCUACUCGUCACUAGACUAGAGUCUUACUCAUCACUGAACCGGAGUCCUACCUAGCUUCAAUAUACAUGAUGCAUGAAUGCUACAAGAAAAUAUGCAAUUCUCAUCCAAAAACCCAACUCUUACAUUUGCCAAUCGUUCCUUUCGGACCUAAAAUAUAUCAUCAACAAUGAUUAUCGUUUUAUGGCCAUGUCACUGGUUCCAUCGAACCUAAUUGUCUCACAUCAAUAGUUCCUUCUCAUGAGGUAUUCAUCAUUGAACUCAACAUAGGAACUCAAUAACAUUUUUCUCAUCAAUCAAUAUCAAAUAACUCAUAAAAAUGAAAAUAAAAUUAAAAAACUACUUGGAAAAUUGAGUCAAAUAUCUCAAUAUGGUCAAACAAUAGGGAUGGCGAUCGGACCGUAUCGACCAUCAUAUUUGUCACCCUCAGGGUGAGUAACACGUUAAUCACUGAUGGUUUGGGGGUCAUGUUCUCAUUAUGGGGCCCUAACAGUUGGACCGUCACUUGGCUGACGCCCGUCACCGCUAACGAUUUGGCGUCUUCUUCCUCGAUGCGGUGAUAGUUGGCCUAUCAUGCUGAUAAUGCCCAUCACUGUUGUGUACAAUGCGAUUUCUGCAUUUUCACCAUUGAAUCGCUUUAGAUUUCAAUCUCUUCAAUCGGUUUUUUACAAAUGAAACAUCUUGCACUCGAUUUUCACAUUAUAACAACAAAUUGUAUAACCAAAACAUUAAUUUAACUUUUAUCACAUCUACUCAUCAUGAUUUAUUCAUAAAAAUAUAGCAUCUCAUAAGAACACAAACAUAAGUUUUUUAUAGCAUAAACCCAUACUAAUUUCACAUAACAAUAGAAAAAUUAGCAACAUCAUUAGAUCAUAACUCAAAAUUAUAUAGCAAUAAUCCAGAGAGAUUUUGCAUAAACCACCUCAAGAUUCAAGUUCCACGUCAAUGGAAGAAAAAGGGAAAGGAUGGGGCUUAAGGAAUCCCUACUAUCCCAUAUGCUUAGACACCAAUGUAUUGAACAAUCCACCCUUACCUUGAUUAUUCAUAAAAGUUUGAAGCUUUAUCGACUUUGGUUAUGGAGGCUCUUCUUCUUCACUUUCUAUGUUAGGGUUUGCUCUCUCCACUUCUUAGUCUCUAUUCCACAAAUUCCACGUGAUAUCACUUUUCCUUCUAUUUAAAUAAAAACCCGUUUUUUUUAAUUUUAAUAAUUUCACUAAUGUCCCCAUUUCUCACUAAUUCUACUCAACUCCCUAUAUUAAUUAAAUUCUAGUUUAUUGCCCCAAAACCACACUUUCUCACAUUCUCCAAUAAUUUGAAUAUUAAACUAUAACUAAAUUCUCCCAAUCUUCUUUAACUUAAAUAAUAAUAAUUAAUUAAAUAAAAUACACCCCAAAAGCUCAAAUAAAAAUUUAAAAUACUAGAAUAAAAAUCGCGGUGUUACACCUUUGGUGUAUUUACUUAC
rnacentral:lncRNA from 1 species